rnacentral:rRNA from 1 species
GACGAACGCUGGCGGCGUGCUUAACACAUGCAAGUCGAACGGAAAGGCCCUGCUUUUGUGGGGUGCUCGAGUGCCGACCGGGUGCGUAACACGUGAGUAACCUGCCCUUGACUUUGGGCUAACUUCAGGAAACUCGGGCUAAUACCGGAUAGGAGCUUCUGCUCCAUGGUGGGGGUUGGAAAGUUUCGGCGGUUGGGGCUGGACUCGCCGCUUAACAGCUUAUUGGUGUGGUAGUGGCAUACCAAGGCUUUGGCGGGUAGCCGGCCUGAGAAGGUGACCGGCCACAGGACGACUGAGGUACGGUCCAGACGGCAACGGGAGGCAGCAGUGGGAAAUAUUGCACAAGGGGCGGAAGCCUGGCGCAGCAUCGCCGCGCGCGGGAUAACGGCCUUGGGGUUGUAAACCGCUUUCGCCUUGGACGAACCGUGAGUGACGGUACUGGGUAAAGAAGCACGGGCUAACUACGUG